rnacentral:rRNA from 1 species
UGCAAUUGCACCGUCUGGAGAUGAGCCUGCGGUCCAUUAGCUUGUUGGUGGGGUAAAGGCCUACCAAGGCAACGAUGGAUAGCCGGCCUGAGAGGGUGAACGGCCACACUGGGACUGAGACACGGCCCAGACUCCUACGGAAGGCAGCAGCUAAGAAUCUUCCGCAAUGGGCGAAAGCCUGACGGAGCGACGCCGCUUGAAUGAAGAAGGCCUAACGGUUGUAAAAUUCUUUUCUUGGGGAAGAAUAAGGAAUGGAGUGGAAAGCCAUUCUGAUGACAUUAUCCAAGGAACAAGCCCCGGCCAAUUACGUGCCAGCAGCCGCGGUAAUACGUAAGGGGCAAGCGUUGUUCGGAAUUAUUGGGCGUAAAGGGCGUGUAGGCGGUUUUAUAAGCCCGAUGUGAAAUACCACAGCUCAACUGUGGAAACGCGUCGGGAACUGUAAGACUAGAGUUCAGGAAGGGAAGCUGGAAUUCCUGGUGUAGGGGUGAAAUCUGUAGAUAUCAGGAAGAACACCGAUGGCGAAGGCAAGCUUCUAGACAUGGACUGACGCUGAGGCGCGAAAGCGUGGGGAGCGAACAGGAUUAGAUACCCUGGUAGUCCACGCUGUAAACGAUGUACACUUGGUGUAGGGACGAACGUCUCUGUGCCGGAGCUAACGCGUUAAGUGUACCGCCUGGGGAGUAUGCCCGCAAGGGUGAAACUCAAAGGAAUUGACGGGGGCCCGCACAAGCGGUGGAGCAUGUGGUUUAAUUCGAUGAUACGCGAGAAACCUUACCAGGGCUUGACAUCUACCGGAAUGUACAAGAGAUUGUGCAGUCUUCUUUGAAGACUGGUAGACGGGUGCUGCAUGGCUGUCGUCAGCUCGUGUCGUGAGAUGUUGGGUUAAGUCCCGCAACGAGCGCAACCCUUACUGUCUGUUACCAGCAUACUUUAUUGUGAUGGGGACUCAGGCAGAACUGCCGGUGACAAACAGGAGGAAGGUGGGGACGACGUCAAGUCAUCAUGGCCCUUAUGUCCUGGACUACACACGUGCUACAAUGGUCGUUACAGAGCGGAGCGAGACGGCGACGUCAAGCAAAUCGCAAAAAGACGACCUAAGUUCGGAUUGGAGUCUGAAACUCGACUCCAUGAAGCUGGAAUCGCUAGUAAUCGCGCAUCAGCAUGGCGCGGUGAAUAAGUUCCCGGGCCUUGUACACACCGC